rnacentral:rRNA from 1 species
GAUGAACGCUGGCGGCGUGCCUAAUACAUGCAAGUCGAACGGACAGGCGCGGCGCUUGCGCGGCUGUCGUUAGCCGCAGGCGGGUGAGAAACGCGUGUAACCUGUCCCUAUAAGUGUGGUAACACUUCGGGAAAGCGGAGAUUAUCGGAUAGAAUAUAUUGCUGCGCGUGGUUGGUUGGAAAGUGUCGGUGUUUGGGUCUGUAAUCGCGGCAUCCGCGCCGCAUGAGCUAGUUGGGAAGGUAACGGGUUACGAAGGCAAGGAGGCGUGGGCGAGGUGAGAGGGUGAUCGGCCACACUGGAACGGAGACGCGGACCAGACGCCUACGGGAGGCAGCAGUAGGGAAUCUGCCGCAAUGGGCGAGAGCCUGACGGAGCAACGCCGCGUGAGUGAUGAAGGUGUUCGGAUCGUAAAACUCUGUUAUUAGUGAAGAACAAAUGUGUAAGUAACUAUGCACGUCUUGACGGUACCUAAUCAGAAAGCCACGGCUAACUACGUG